GUGUCAGCCGCCGCGGUAAUACGUAGGGUGCAAGCGUUAAUCGGAAUUACUGGGCGUAAAGCGUGCGCAGGCGGUUAUAUAAUACAGAUGUGAAAUCCCCGGGCUCAACUUGGGAACUGCAUUUGUGACUGUAUAGCUAGAGUACGGUAGAGGGGGAUGGAAUUCCGCGUGUAGCAGUGAAAUGCGUAGAUAUGCGGAGGAACACCGAUGGCGAAGGCAAUCCCCUGGACCUGUACUGACGCUCAUGCACGAAAGCGUGGGGAGCAAACAGGAUUAGAAACCCCAGUAGUCC
rnacentral:rRNA from 1 species